CUGCUCGCUUCGGCAGCACAUAUACUAAAACUGGACCAAUGCAGAGAAAAUGAUCAUGACCCCUGUUCAAGGAUGACACACAAAUUUGUGACGUGUUCUAUAUUUUA